rnacentral:hammerhead_ribozyme from 1 species
AUCCAGCUGAUGAGUUCCAAAUAGGACGAAACGCCUGUUUGGAU